GUCUAUGGCCAUGUCAGCCUGAACGCACCUGAUCUUGUCUGAUCUCGGAAGCGAGGCAGGUUCAGGCCUGGUUCGUAUUUGGAUGGAAGACCAUCAGGGAAUACCGAGUGCUGCAGGCU
ensembl:rRNA 5S_rRNA 5S ribosomal RNA